rnacentral:tRNA from 1 species
UCCCAGGUGGCUCAGUGGUAAAGAACCUGCCUGCAAAGCAGGGGACGCAGGUUCAAUCCCUGGGUCAGGAA